AAGCCGGGGUCCACUCAAUUCUCAGCUGUGCUACAUCACCUCGUCUCCUCUUUACCCAGGCGUACCCUGCGAUGACUGCAUCGGUCUCGGAGCACGGCCGAAGCGUGCGGGCCAAGGACCCGGUCAUUCUUAGGAGGCGACUAGGAGACAGCAGCCUGGUGCCAGCAGGAACCUCCCAGACAGCCUGGUGGUCUUCCUUUGCACCUGAUGUGGAUUCUCAUUCCUGGACAGCCAAGAGAUAAGUCGAGGGCUGUGACUUACAGAGGGGAUGGAAGGGGGCUGCUGUGUCAGGACUCAUCAGGUGGGAUUCUUGAGUCAGCUUUGGAGCUGAGGAUAUCCAGGAAAUGUUGUCUUGAGCCCACACAAAAGCAAAGUGUCGCUUUUGAUCCCAGUGCUGAGGUGCGCAGGGCAGAGCAGUCCCGGCGUGUGUUGUGUCACGUGGCUAUUGUGCAUUAUGUGUUGUUUAAUGUCUUUUCCCUUAGCCCUUUGAGGGGCCUAACAGAAACCCUGGCAUCAUUCUUAGCAUCUGUGAUCUCUGCAUUUCUUGGCCUGGCACCAAUGCCACAGGACUUUUGACUCAGGAGCUCAGACAGGCAUCAGAAUUGCAUUUCUCUUUAGGAGCAUCCAGUCAGAUGUCUUUGCAGGUCUUGUUCUGAGCUGUAUGUACCUUGUAAGGAUCCAUUAUGGCAGAUUAGGGCUUGUAAGAAUGCAAGGAUAGGUAGAGGAUGCUGACUGUAGGAGUCUCAGACAUCCAUCUUUGUAGUUCUUGGAAUAAACCAUUGUCUUAGCAGGUUAUUCCUCCAGGGUUCUGGGAGCCUCAUCAGCUCGCCAUCAGUCUCAUCUCGGUCAUCUAAUCUUGCAUUCUCUCAGUCCUUGCAGUCAUUCUUCUUGCCAAGAGAUUCCUGUCCCUGUUGUGUCCCCCUUGUUUGUCAUGUCGUGUCCUGUGUCACGGGUGUCUGCACAUAUUUGUGCCGGAGCUGCUCUGCCCUGCUGCAUAGCCUGGUGUAAUAGGACAAAUCCUGGGGGCUUGAAAUUUGUAGUGUGGGCUGUAGUUGGACUCUAGAUGAUAUUCCUAGGCUGACCCAGAUGUCUGGAGCUGUGAAGUGGUCCUGCAGCCCUUUGACAUUUUUCCUAACUUUCUUUCAGAUGCAGAUGGAUAAAAUCCAUGGCAGAGCACCCCAUCCCAGGAAGUAAAGUGAUAGAGCAACAGUCAAGUUGAAGUGGUCAAGGCAAUCUACUCAGGUUAUGCCAAGCCCCUGUCAUCAACCAGCCGAUUGACCAGGUUUGCUGCUCUCAUGAGCCCUGUGGAGGUAUUGCAGGACCCUGUGAUGAAGCCUUGAAAUUUUCUAUUUAAAGGUUGCUUCUGGGUAGCCCUCAGGAAUGGGCAACGAGCCGUGGUGAGUUGGGGGGUAUCGAGGAGGAGCUGGGGUCCGCUCAGUUCUCAGCUAUGCUACAUCAACUCAUCUCCUCUUUACCCAGGCGUACCCUGUGACGACGGCGUCGGUCUCAGAGCACGGCCGAAGCGUGCGGGCCGAGGACCCGGUCAUUCUUAGGAGGCGACUAGGAGACAGCAGCCUGGUGCCAGCAGGAACCUCCCAGACAGCCUGGUGGCCUUGCUUUGCACCUGAUGUGGAUUCUCAUUCCUGGAGAGCCAAGAGAUAAGUUGAGGGCUGUGACUUACAGAGGGGAUGGAAGGGGGCUGCUGUGUCAGGACUCACCAGGAGGGAUUUUUGAGUCAGCUUUGGAGCUGAGGAUAUCCAGGAAAUGUUGUCUUGAGGCCACACAAAAGCGAAGUGUCACUUUUGGUCCCAGUGCUGAGGUGCGCAGGGCAGAGCAGUCCCGGUGUGUUUUGUCAUGUGGCUAUUGUGCAUUGUGUUGUGUGGCUGUCUCAUGUCUUUUCCCUUAGCCCUUUGAGGGGCCUAUCAGAAACCCUGGCAUCAUUCUUAGCAUCUGUGAUCUCUGCAUUUCUUGGCCUGGCACCAAUGCCACAGGACUUUUGACACAGGAGCUUGGACAGGCAUCGGAAUUGAAUUUCUCUUUAGGAGCAUCCAGUCAGAUAUCUUUGCAGGUCUUGUUCUGAGCUGUACGUACUGCUGUGCAUCGCAAGGAUCCAUUAUGGCAGAUUAGGGCUCGUAAGAAUGCAAGGAUAGGUAGAGGAUUCUGCCCAUAGGAUUCUCGGACAUCCAUCUUUGUAGUUCUUGGAAUAAACUGUUCUCUUAUCAGAUUCUUCCUCCAGGGUUCUCUGAGCCUCAUCGGUCUCACCUCGGUCAUCUAAUCUUGCGUUCUCUCAGUCCUUGCAGUCAUUUUUGCCAAGAGAUUUCUGUCCUUGUUGUGUCCCCCUUGUUUGUCAUGUUCUGUCCUGUGUCACGGGUGUCUGCACAUAUUUUUGCCGGAGCUGCUCUGCCCUGCUGCAUAGUCUGGUGUAAUAGGACAAAUCCUGGGGGCUUGAAAUUUGUAGUGCGGGGUGUUGUUGGAUUAUAGAUGGGAUUUGUAGAUGGACCCAAGAUGUCUGGAGCUGUGAAGUUAUCCUGCAGCCCUUUGACGUUUGUCCUCACUUGCUUUUAGAUGCAGGUGGAUAAAAUCCAUGGCAGAGCACCCCAUCCCAGGAAGUAAAGCCACAUAUCAGAAGUCAAGGCGAGGUGGUCAAGGCAAUCCAUUUGGAGUAUGCAUGACUCCCCAUCACACACUGGCCGAUGGACUGUGAUCAUUGCUCUUGUGAGCCCUGUGGAAGUAUUACAGGACUUGGUGAUGAAGCCUCUGCCUUUCCUAUUUAAAUGUGUCACCCGGGUAGCCUUUGGCAGCAGCUGAGGAGUUGCAGCGGACCCUGCGCUGACGGCGUCGGCCUCCGAGCGCAGCGGAAGUGUGCGGCAUUGAUAAGAGACCCAGGCAUUGCUAGGAGAAUGCUGACUAAGAGACAACAGCCCGGUGACAGCAGGAACUUCCCAGACGGCGAGGCGGCCUUCUUUUGCAUCUGACACGGAUUGGCAUCUGCAGAUAAGUCGAUGGCUAUGACCCACAGAGGGGAUGAUAGUGGGGUGCUGGGUUGGGACUCACAGGGAGGGAUUUUUGAGUCUGCUUUGGAGUUGGGGAUGUCCAAGAAGUGGCCCCUUAGGCCACAGAAAAGCCAAGUGUCACUUUUGAUCACAAUGCUGAGGUGCUCAGGGCAGAGCAGUCCCGGAGGGUAUCGUGUCAGUUGUCUAUUGUGCGUUCUGUGUGUUUGGCUUUCUCAUGUCUUUUACCUUAGCCCUUUGAGGGGCCUAUCAGAAACCCUGGCAUCAUUCUUAGCAUCUGUGAUCUCUGCAUUUCUUGGCCUGGCACCAAUGCCACAGGACUUUUGACUCAGGAGCUCAGACAGGCAUCAGAAUUGCAUUUCUCUUUAGGAGCAUCCAGUCAGAUGUCUUUGCAGGUCUUGUUCUGAGCUGUAUUUACCUUGCAAGGAUCCAUUAUGGCAGAUUAGGGCUUGUAAGAAUGCAAAGAUAGGUAGAGGAUGCUGACCGUAGGAUUCUCAGAUGUCCAUCUUUGUAGUUCUUGGAAUAAACCAUUGUCUUAGCAGGUUAUUCCUCCAGGGUUCUGGGAGCCUCAUCAGCUCGCCAUCAGUCUCAUCUCGGUCAUCUAAUCUUGCAUUCUCUCAGUCCUUGCAGUCAUUCUUCUUGCCAAGAGAUUCCUGUCCCUGUUGUGUCCCCCUUGUUUGUCAUGUCGUGUCCUGUGUCACGGGUGUCUGCACAUAUUUGUGCCGGAGCUGCUCUGCCCUGCUGCAUAGCCUGGUGUAAUAGGACAAAUCCUGGGGGCUUGAAAUUUGUAGUGUGGGGUGUAGUUGGAUUAUAGAUGGGAUUUGUAGAUGGACACAGGGUGCCUGGAGCAGUGAAAUUAUCCUGCAGCCCUUUGACAUUUGUCCUGACUUUCUUUCAGAUGCAGGCAGAUAAAAUCUGUGGCAGAGCACCCCAUCCUGGCUGAGGGGGUUGCCCUGAGCAGGAAGUAAAGCUGGAUAUCAGCAGUCAAGGCAAUCCAUUUGGAGUAGGCCGAGCCCCCCCACCCCCCAACCGGCCAAUGGAUCUGGUUUGCUGCUCUUGCGAGCCCUGUGAAGGUAUUGCAGGACUCUGCGAUGAAGCCCUGAACCUUUCUGUUUAAAGGUGCCAUCCGGCUGGCCUUUGGCAGCUGCCGAGGAGUUGCGGCACACCCUGCCACGACGGCAUUGGCCUCCAAGCAUUGCUGAAGCUAACGGCAUUAGGAGACGCUAUGAGGCAGCAGCCCAGUGACAGCGAGAACUUCCCAGAUGGCAAGGCGGCCUUCUUUUGCACCUGAUGCAGAUUGGCAUCCCCAGAUGUCUGAGAGAUAAGUCAAGGGCUACGACUUGCCGAGGGGGUGAAUGUGGGGUGCUGGGUUGGGACUCACCGGGAGGGGUUUUUGAGUCUGCUUUGGGGCUGAGGCUAUCCAAGUAGUGUCCCCUUAGGCCACAUAAAGGGAAAGUGUCACCUUUGAUCCCAGCGCUGAGGUGCGCAGGGUAGAGCAGUCCCAGUGUGUAUCGUGUCACUUGUCUAACGUACCUGGUGUUGUUUAUAUGUCUCAUGUCAUGCAUCGUCUACCUUAGCCCUUUGAGGGGCCCAUCAGAAACCCUGGCAUCAUUCUUAGCGUCUGUGAUCUCUGCAUUUCUUGGCCUGGCACAAAUGCAGUAGGACUUUUGGCUCAGGAGCUCAGACAGGCGUCAGAAUUGCAUUUCUGUUUAGGAGCUUCCAGUCAGAUGUCUUUGGAGGUCUUGUUCUGAGCUGUAUGUACUGCUGUGCAUCGCAAGGAUCCAUUAUGGCAGAUUAGGGCUUGUAAGAAUGCAAAGAUAGGUAGAGGAUUCUGACCGUAGGAUUCUCAGAUGUCCAUCUUUGCAGUUCUUUAACAAAAUCAUUCUCUUAGGAGAUACUUCCUCCCUGGUUGUCUGAGCCUCAUCACCUCACUGUCAAUCUCACCUCAGUCAUUUCAUUUUCCAUUCUCUCAGUCCUUGCAGUCAUUCUUCUUGUCAAGAGAUAGUAGUCCCUGUUGUGUCCUCAUUGUUUGUCCUGUCCUGUGUCACGGGCGUCCGCACACGUUUGUGUCGGAGCUGCUCUGCCCUGCCGCGUAGCCUGGUGUAAUAGGACACAUCCUGGGGGCUUGGAAUUUGUAAUGUGGGGUGUAGUUGGAUUCUAGAUGGUAUUCCUAGGUUGACUCUAGGAAGUUGUCUGGAGCUGUGAAGUUAUCCUGCUGCCCUUUGAACUUUGUCCUGACUCUGUUUCAGAUGCAGACAGAUAAAAUCCAUGGCAGAACUCCCUAUCCCAGGAAGUAAAGCCAUCUAGCAGCAGUCAAGGCAAAGUGGUCGAGGCAGUCCACUUUCAAUCCAUGCCAGCUGAGGAUGCCCGAUGCCAGGUACCUUCCAGGCAGACUCUGGAGUCAAAUCAAGAUUUGAGGUACUGCGAGGAGCUUCGUAGGCAAAGUUUGGAGAGAGCACCACCGAAGCACACGAGACCGUCUCAACGUCCACGUCCCACCGGGGAUGGAUUUUGUCAGCUCGUCAUCCAAAAGCUAAGUGUUGGGGUCCAUAGUUGGGAGAAGGGGAAAAACCUUUACUAUCACAGGAAGCCAUGUGAUGUUAGCUUAGCGGAGCAAUCCGUAGCGGAACAGGUCCCUCGGAUGUAAAGGGAGAGGGUUUCUCCUCGGCCUCACCAGAGCCUUUGCCGGGCAGGGCAGUUCCGACCCGUCUCCACGUUCUCGCGAACUUUGCGUCGUCAGCCUCCUUCGACCCUCGACAUCGUCGUGGAUCUUUCUCCCGAGGAGCUCGCCUUCGGGUCCGGAGCUAUAGCCACCGUCACCCGGCAGUCUUUGCUUCCUUCUCUAGGCCCACCGAGCCUCUCGAGCAUCCUCUUAACUGCUUUGGCACUAACUUCUUUUAAGGAGUUGCAUUUCAUCGUCACACGCUAUUGCCAUAGGACUCGCUUUACUUUGGCAUCUUUGGCCUCUGGCUCAUCUUGCGCUAGGAAUCUUGAGUCCAUAAGGUGAAACUGCUAGGCAGUUUCCACCUGUGUCUGUGUUAUGUCAGCUGUGUCUGUGUUACGUUGUCUACGUUACGGUGUCUGCGUUAUGUAGUCUGUGUCCAUCGUCUUCCGUGUCGUAGGCCUUUGUUACAUCUCGACGCCGUAUCGGCCUCAUUCCGUGCCGUAUCGGCCAUAUUUUACUCGCGUUCCUUCCCGGACAUCGCUUAUUCUGCCAUCUCUCUUUUGAGACACAAAGAAGUACACAAGAGGUUCUCAUCAGUCUUCCGUCUCAGCUGCGGUAGUGCCUUUUUCUUCCUGUGCUAUUGUCUUGGGCUUCUAUAGGGAGUGUCUUACACCCUCCUCAUGUGACUGCCAUAGUUCUGUAGGUUCCAUCUUCUCAAAGGGUACGGUGCUCAAGAAUUAAUCUUCCAGAGAGUUAUCCGAAGUCCUGGUUUACAUUGUCCCCGAGGCGACCGAUUUUCCUGGAAUCUACCAUUUGACGUGAAGGAGCAGCAGCCAGAUGACACGUCGAAGCACGUUCAGGGUUUCAAGUAGGGCUGCAGUGAGCGUGUAAGUCGAAGAGCGUGCAAGUCUGCGUGAGUGUGAGCGACCGUCUGCGUCCGCUUGUCUCUGUGUGUGCGAGUGUAUGCUGACCAGAUCUAACCUUGUGCGUGUGACGUUUGCCUUUCAGGUUUUUCAACACAUUUUAAAAUUUAGAAUAAAAAAUCCCCAGCCGGGGUUUUUUUUUUCCCUCCCCCGGCUGGGUUUUUUUUUCCUCGGUCCCGGCCGGUCCGCGAGGCGACGUUCAUCGCCAAAGUUUGGGGGUGGACCGUCCCAGGACCGGGGUUUUUGUCAGGCAGGAGGAUUUUUAUGGAGGCUCCCGGGAACCGAGGAGCGGCACGAAUGCGUGCCGGGGGUCAGCAGGGCGGUUGAGGUGCGAGCGAGGGUGGGUUUGUGUGUAAGCUGAAGGAGAGCCGUGGGUGCGUGUGUUGAUGACUGGUUCUAACCUUGUGCGUAUGACUUUUUCCUUUCAGGUUUUUCAACACAUUUUAAAAUUUAGAAUAAAAAAUCCCCAGCCGGGGGGGUUUUUUUUUUUUCCCCCCGGCUGGGUUUUUUUUUCCUCGGUCCCGGCCGGUCCGCGAGGCGACGUUCAUCGCCAGAGUUUGGGGGCGGACCGUUCCGGGACCGGGGUUUUUGUCAGGCAGGAGGAUUUUUUUGGAGGCUCCCGGGAACCACGUUCCCGAGGAGCGGCACGAAUGCGUGCCGGGGGUCAGCAGGGCGGUUGAGGUGCGAGCGAGGGUGGGUUUGUGUGUAAGCUGAAGGAGAGCCGUGGGUGCGUGUGUUGAUGACUGGUUCUAACCUUGUGCGUAUGACUUUUUCCUUUCAGGUUUUUCAACACAUUUUAAAAUUUAGAAUAAAAAAUCCCCAGCCGGGGGGGUUUUUUUUUUUUCCCCCCGGCUGGGUUUUUUUUUCCUCGGUCCCGGCCGGUCCGCGAGGCGACGUUCAUCGCCAGAGUUUGGGGGCGGACCGUGCCGGGACCGGGGUUUUUGUCAGGCAGGAGGAUUUUUUUGGAGGCUCCCGGGAACCACGUUCCCGAGGAGCGGCACGAAUGCGUGCCGGGGGUCAGCAGGGCGGUUGAGGUGCGAGCGAGGGUGGGUUUGUGUGUAAGCUGAAGGAGAGCCGUGGGUGCGUGUGUUGAUGACUGGUUCUAACCUUGUGCGUAUGACUUUUUCCUUUCAGGUUUUUCAACACAUUUUAAAAUUUAGAAUAAAAAAUCCCCAGCCGGGGGGUUUUUUUUUUUUUCCCCCCGGCUGGGUUUUUUUUUCCUCGGUCCCGGCCGGUCCGCGAGGCGACGUUCAUCGCCAGAGUUUGGGGGCGGACCGUGCCGGGACCGGGGUUUUUGUCAGGCAGGAGGAUUUUUUUGGAGGCUCCCGGGAACCACGUUCCCGAGGAGCGGCACGAAUGCGUGCCGGGGGUCAGCAGAGCGGUUGAGGUGCGAGCGAGGAUGGGUUUGCGUGUAAUGUGAAGGAGGUGUUCACAAUGGAUGUGUGUUGCGUUCUGUGUGCUGCCUUUGUUUUGGGGUUCCUGUAACAAUAAAUCCAAGUGUAAUGAAAGUAGAAAAAAGGUUAUCAUCUUGUGUUAAUAUGUGUUUGGCUUAUGUUCGGUGUUGUCUUGUAUUUGCAUUUCUGUAUAUUGCUCUGUAUGUAAAUUGGACUUUUACCAGCAUGUGUCUGGAUUGUAUGUGUACUCGCAUUUGUAUACACUCUUUCCAUGUGUUUUGCUCAAGUGUAAAUAGGAAAAUUCAUUCAAUAAAGUUGAAUCAACCUGAAUAAAGA